CAGCAGCAGCCGCGGGAAUACGUAGGGUGCAAGCGUUAAUCGGAAUUACAGGGCGUAAAGCGUGCGCAGGCGGUUCGUUAAGACAGAUGUGAAAUCCCCGGGCUUAACCUGGGAACUGCAUUUGUGACUGGCAAGCUAGAGUCUGGCAGAGGGGGGUGGAAUUCCGCGUGUAGCAGUGAAAUGCGUAGAUAUGCGGAGGAACACCGAUGGCGAGGGCAGCCCCCUGGGCCAACACUGACGCUCAUGCACGAAAGCGUGGGGAGCAAACAGGAUUAGAGACCCCCGUAGUCCCUGUCUCUUAUAC
rnacentral:rRNA from 1 species